rnacentral:sRNA from 1 species
AUUAGUAUGAUAUACUUAUCAUCGUAGAGAAGUUAUGACGGUGGCGACUUCUGAAAGGUGGUGGUGCUUAUGAAAGUGAGUACUAAAAUCUAUGGAAGGAGAAGCCUUUUGUCAGCAUUGGAUACAAUUAAACUGAUACUAAGCUUUGGUAUGUUUACCAUUGCUUUAAUUCGUUUAGU